GGCUCAGGACGAACGCUGGCGGCGUGCUUAACACAUGCAAGUCGAACGAGACGAUUUAGAAGCUUGCUUUUAUUGAGUCGAGUGGCAAACGGGUGAGUAACGCGUAUCCAACCUUCCCGUUGCUAGGGGAUAACCUUGCGAAAGUAAGACUAAUACCCUAUGAGGUUCUUCGCAGACAUCUAAAGAGAACGAAAGAUUUAUCGGGCAACGGAUGGGGAUGCGUCUGAUUAGGUUGUUGGCGGGGUAACGGCCCACCAAGCCCACGAUCAGUAGGGGUUCUGAGAGGAAGGUCCCCCACAUUGGAACUGAGACACGGUCCAAACUCCUACGGGAGGCAGCAGUGAGGAAUAUUGGUCAAUGGGCGAGAGCCUGAACCAGCCAAGUAGCGUGCAGGAUGACGGCCCUAUGGGUUGUAAACUGCUUUUAUAAGGGAAUAAAGUGAGCCUCGUGAGGCUUUUUGCAUGUACCUUAUGAAUAAGGACCGGCUAAUUCCGUG
rnacentral:rRNA from 1 species